GAGUUCAUGCCCUCACGGGUAGAUCUCCCACCCUUGAAUAUUAUACCUUCGUUGCUUUGGCAGGCCGUGGAAACACCAUGGGCUCCGGCUGAUGCGUGCCUGCCAGAGGACCCAAACUCUAAUGUUUCUUAUUGUAACUUCUGAGUAAAACAAACAAAUAAAUCAAAACUUUCAACAACGGAUCUCUUGGUUCU
rnacentral:misc_RNA from 1 species